UGGGCUCCACGGGGUGGGCAGCGCCUGCUGUGCCGGUUGGGAGGGGCGGGGCGGGGCACUCCUUCUUGCUGAGCAUCCCGGGAGUUGUAGUCCAGGGGCGGUCUCCAUCCGCGCCCUACCCCCACCCCGUUCUCUCUCACUCCUGGCUUUUGCCCUUCCUGAAGACAUUCCCGCUAUACCUUCAGACCCCUGAUUGGCUCUUUGGAAGAAAUCGCUGUGUCCUAAACUCAAGGUUGGGUCCUGCAGCCUCAGGAGAGGAAACUGAAUUACAAAGAAGCUGAGUAAUUUGUUCGAAGUUGUAAACUUGAUACUCAGCAGAGGUGGGGCAUGAACUCCAAAAGGUUCUAAGCAUUAUGCAAAUUGAAUGAAUGGAAGAAAGACCAGAAGUUCACUGAAUUUAUGGUUCUAAACUGAUCCAGUGUGUGCAGACACUUCAACUUAUGGGAGCUCCAGCUUUCUCUCUCUGAGUUGCGUCUGGGCCCCUCCUUUGUGUCCCUGAAAGGAAGAGGCUGCCAGGACUCAGUGGCAUCUGUGUGCUUGAAGGAAUUUGUCUGAGAUGACCUUAAGGCAACCUACUUUGAAGAGAUUAUUGAGCGUGUAAAAGGCAACAAACAUAUUACAACUUUUCAGUAUUUGAACCCAGCUCUGCCUCUUUCCAUUUGUGAGACCUCAUUAGCUUCAGUGCACUUACCUGUUAAAUGAGAAUAAUGAUAUCAUCUUGCAAGGCUCCAUCAUAACAUGGAUUUCCAAGACCACGUCAGCAUAGGUGCCUGUUUACAAAGCAAACUCAUAAAGUCAGACUUUCCAGUAUUGGGACCCCAGAAUCUACAUAUUUUUAAGCUUUGGAUUAACAAUCAUGUUUGGGAUUCACCAAGAAGAUUCCCUUUCAUCCAAAGCAUUCUUAAAGUGUGUAAACCUGGCUCAGGUUAUCGCUAAUCGGAAUCUUUCACGUGGCUCGAUUUUGAUCUACAGCAGAGGUACAGUACCACAGUAGAAGUAGAUCAUUAGAUCUUUCCAGUUUGUUCCAGAACUAAUGUCAACUCCUGGAGAAGGCACAGGGCUAAAUGGAAAAUGGAGGAACCCAUCAUUGAGCAAUUGUUACAUGGUAGUUACAUAGUCUGUGAAGUGUUUUCCAUGUGUAACAUGGGGAAAAAGCUAUUUGUAAUUUAUAAUUCUCUUCUACCUUCUAAAGAAGAUACACCCCAGUGACUGGAGGCUUCCUUGUGGACUGAAAAGAAUGAUUCCUGAGGAGUGAUGUUUGGAGGAAAUGGAUAAGAGUUAAAUUGAGCUGCAUGAUAAAGGGAGUAAAAGGGAGUGAGAUGGGAGCAUUAGGUGCAGGAAGGGAGAGACAAACCUGGAAAACCAGGCCCUGGAGGACAAGGAGAGAAGAGAUUUGAAAGUGAGAACUGGUCUGUGUAUGAUCAGAGGGAUGCUCUAACAAAUAGAACUCAAGAUGUAGUGGCUUAAAUGAGAUGGCAUAUUUUGCUAGCAUUUAAUAGUUCAAAGAUAAAUAGUUGGGAACUUCUAAACUUCUAAAGAUGUUUGCCAGUAUUCGUUAAACCACAGGAAAUGGAAAAGAGUGCAAGACAAGCAACUUUAACUCUGAGAAGAUGACAGGACAAUUGGAAGCAUCAUUGUUCAUACCCCAUGGGCCUGAGUUGGUUACUUGGUAACACCUGAAUGAAGAGAAACUAAAAUAUGUCAUCUCUAGCUGGGUUUCCAUGUUCUCAGCUAAAACCUGGAAGCUUCUGUUGCUAAAAGGAAGAAGGGAUAUAUUGAUAUAGUGCUACAAUUAGCAGUCCUGCCCACUUGGCAAGAGAUAGCUAAUUCCAAGUUUCAGCUUGAAAUGGUAUAUAUCCUGUGCUGUGUGAACGCCCACCUCUAACUUUCCCUCAAUGUAUUUAGUAAAAUACACAUUGUUCACUAGUG